rnacentral:lncRNA from 1 species
CGGCCACUAGCAUCGCACUGUACUUCUGUUAGACGAGCGAAGUUUUGUUUGACCUCAUAUAUUUCCAUAUGGCAAUUGGCAUUAUCAAGCGUUGUAGAAACAUCCCUACAGAACGUAUAAAUAAUGUGAUGGCAACGGUUCUCUAAUCUGCUCAUGGUGGACCGAAAUUGCAUCUCCAACAUACAGAUUCCUAGCUUGUACCUGAAGAUGAUAUCAAUGUUAUUUGGCCCAUACGCAUAUACCGCUUUUUCAACUUUUGAUGAAACCCACAAAAAAUCUUGUACGU